CCUACGGGUGGCAGCAGUGGGGAAUAUUGGGCAAUGGGCGCAAGCCUGACCCAGCAACGCCGCGUGAAGGAAGACGGCCCUCGGGUUGUAAACUUCUUUUAUCAAGGACGAAACAAAUGACGGUACUUGAUGAAUAAGCCACGGCUAACUACGGGCCAGCAGCCGCGGUAAUACGUCGGUGGCAAGCGUUAUCCGGAUUUACUGGGUGUAAAGGGCGUGUAGGCGGGACUGCAAGUCAGAUGGGAAAACCAUGGGCUCAACCCAUGGCCUGCCUUUGAAACUGUAGUUCUUGAGUGUGGGAGAGGCAGGCGGAAUGCCGGGUGUAGCGGUGAAAUGCAUAGAUAUACGGCGGAACACCAGUGGCGAAGGCAGCCUGCUGGACAAUAACUGACGCUGAGGCGCGAAAGCGUGGGGAGCGAACAGGAUUAGAUACCCGGGUAGUC
rnacentral:rRNA from 1 species